rnacentral:rRNA from 1 species
GAAUUGUUCGCAAUGGGCGCAAGCCUGACGACGCAAUGCCGCGUGGAGGAUGAAGGUCUUCGGAUUGUAAACUCCUGUUGCCCGGGACGAGUGGCUCCAACCCAAUACGUUGGAGCGUUACGGUACCGGGUGAGGAAGCCCCGGCUAACUCUGUGCCACCAGCCGCGGUAAUACAGAGGGGGCAAGCGUUGUUCGGAAUUACUGGGCGUAAAGGGCGCGUAGGCGGCCUGUUAAGUCGAACGUGAAAUCCCCGGGCUCAACCCGGGAAUUGCGUCCGAUACUGGCGGGCUCGAAUCCGGGAGAGGGAUGCGGAAUUCCAGGUGUAGCGGUGAAAUGCGUAGAUAUCUGGAGGAACACCGGUGGCGAAGGCGGCAUCCUGGACCGGUAUUGACGCUGAGGCGCGAAAGCCAGGGGAGCAAACGGG